UACGUAGGGCGCAAGCGUUAUCCGGAAUUAUUGGGCGUAAAGAGCUCGUAGGCGGUUUGUCGCGUCUGCCGUGAAAGUCCGGGGCUCAACUCCGGGCUUGCGGGCGAUACGGGCAGGCUAGAGUUCGGUAGGGGAGACUGGAAUUCCUGGUGUAGCGGUGAAAUGCGCAGAUAUCUGGAGGAACACCGGUGGCGAAGGCGGCAUCCUGGACCAAUAUUGACGCUGAGGAGCGAAAGCCAGGGGAGCAAACGGG
rnacentral:rRNA from 1 species